rnacentral:rRNA from 1 species
UACGGGGGGGGCAAGCGUUGUUCGGAAUUACUGGGCGUAAAGGGCUCGUAGGCGGCCAAUUAAGUCAGACGUGAAAUCCCUCGGCUUAACCGGGGAACUGCGUCUGAUACUGGAUGGCUUGAAUCCGGGAGAGGGAUGCGGAAUUCCAGGUGUAGCGGUGAAAUGCGUAGAUAUCAGGAGGAACACCAAUUGCGAAGGCAGCUCGCUGGGACGUUACUGACGCUGAGACGCGAAAGCGUGGGGAGCAAACAGG